AGACCCGAAACCCGGUGAUCUAGCCAUGGGCAGGUUGAAGGUUGGGUAACACUAACUGGAGGACCGAACCGACUAAUGUUGAAAAAUUAGCGGAUGACUUGUGGCUGGGGGUGAAAGGCCAAUCAAACCGGGAGAUAGCUGGUUCUCCCCGAAAGCUAUUUAGGUAGCGCCUCGUGAAUUCAUCUCCGGGGGUAGAGCACUGUUUCGGCAAGGGGGUCAUCCCGACUUACCAACCCGAUGCAAACUGCGAAUACCGGAGAAUGUUAUCACGGGAGACACACGGCGGGUGCUAACGUCCGUCGUGAAGAGGGAAACAACCCAGACCGCCAGCUAAGGUCCCAAAGUCAUGGUUAAGUGGGAAACGAUGUGGGAAGGCCCAGACAGCCAGGAUGUUGGCUUAGAAGCAGCCAUCAUUUAAAGAAAGCGUAAUAGCUCACUGGUCGAGUCGGCCUGCGCGGAAGAUGUAACGGGGCUAAACCAUGCACCGAAGCUGCGGCAGCGACACUGUGUGUUGUUGGGUAGGGGAGCGUUCUGUAAGCCUGUGAAGGUGUGCUGUGAGGCAUGCUGGAGGUAUCAGAAGUGCGAAUGCUGACAUAAGUAACGAUAAAGCGGGUGAAAAGCCCGCUCGCCGGAAGACCAAGGGUUCCUGUCCAACGUUAAUCGGGGCAGGGUGAGUCGACCCCUAAGGCGAGGCCGAAAGGCGUAGUCGAUGGGAAACAGGUUAAUAUUCCUGUACUUGGUGUUACUGCGAAGGGGGGACGGAGAAGGCUAUGUUGGCCGGGCGACGGUUGUCCCGGUUUAAGCGUGUAGGCUGGUUUUCCAGGCAAAUCCGGAAAAUCAAGGCUGAGGCGUGAUGACGAGGCACUACGGUGCUGAAGCAACAAAUGCCCUGCUUCCAGGAAAAGCCUCUAAGCAUCAGGUAACAUCAAAUCGUACCCCAAACCGACACAGGUGGUCAGGUAGAGAAUACCAAGGCGCUUGAGAGAACUCGGGUGAAGGAACUAGGCAAAAUGGUGCCGUAACUUCGGGAGAAGGCACGCUGAUAUGUAGGUGAAGUCCCUCGCGGAUGGAGCUGAAAUCAGUCGAAGAUACCAGCUGGCUGCAACUGUUUAUUAAAAACACAGCACUGUGCAAACACGAAAGUGGACGUAUACGGUGUGACGCCUGCCCGGUGCCGGAAGGUUAAUUGAUGGGGUCAGCGCAAGCGAAGCUCUUGAUCGAAGCCCCGGUAAACGGCGGCCGUAACUAUAACGGUCCUAAGGUAGCGAAAUUCCUUGUCGGGUAAGUUCCGACCUGCACGAAUGGCGUAAUGAUGGCCAGGCUGUCUCCACCCGAGACUCAGUGAAAUUGAACUCGCUGUGAAGAUGCAGUGUACCCGCGGCAAGACGGAAAGACCCCGUGAACCUUUACUAUAGCUUGACACUGAACAUUGAGCCUUGAUGUGUAGGAUAGGUGGGAGGCUUUGAAGUGUGGACGCCAGUCUGCAUGGAGCCGACCUUGAAAUACCACCCUUUAA
rnacentral:rRNA from 1 species